GGGCACAGAAGCUGGAAAACGGCAGAGGAGGAAAAGAAGGAAAAAAAAAUGGGGGAAGAAAGAAAAGAAAAAAAGGGGAAGAUAAGCUAAGUCCCCGGUCUUCUCCUCAAUUUUUCAAGGUAAGCAUAAGUUUUACUUAGACCCUGCUUGAUAUCCAUUUUUUUUUUUUCAAAAUGCAUUUUUCUCUCUCUUCUUUUCAACUACACAUUCUUUAUUAAAAUAAUAUUACAUGUAAAUAAAAAUUUUUUCCUUAUUUUUCAAUCACACAUUUCCCAUAAUUUACUAUUCUAAAAUUCAUUUUUACAUAAAAAUAGGUAUCAAGUACCCUCUUAUUGAAGAAUGAUAUUAGAUUUUAGGGUUCAUGGAAAUUCCUUAAAUUCGAGAUUUAGGAAGAAUUAAAGGUUAUUAGUAGGUAUUUGUGGUCAAAGAAAUAUAUAUCAAAUGAUUAGUGUCGGAAAAAAGAAAAGAAAAGAAUAGAAAAGAAAAUGGGGGAAACUUUGAAAAUGGGUUUAUGAAAUAGAUACUUAUUCUUUGAUUUAUUGGGAUUAUAUGAUGUUAAGCACUUAAAUUAAGGAUUUGGGGUUGAUUUCUCCAUUUUUAAGUUAUUGAAGAAUGAUAUUAGAUUUUAGGGUUCAUGGAAAUUCCUUAAAUUCGAGAUUUAGGAAGAAUUAAAGGUUAUUAGUAGGUAUUUGUGGUCAAAGAAAUAUAUAUCAAAUGAUUAGUGUCGGAAAAAAGAAAAGAAAAGAAUGGAAAAGAAAAUGGGGGAAACUUUGAAAAUGGGUUUAUGAAAUAUAUACUUAUUCUUUGAUUUAUUGGGAUUAUAUGAUGUUAAGCACUUAAAUUAAGGAUUUGGGGUUGAUUUCUCCAUUUUUAAGUAAUUAAUAUAAGCUACUUUGGACAAAAUCCUCUUCAGGCGCUGUUUUUGAAAAUUGUCCAGAAUAGCGCUAUUUCUGUCAAAGGUUUUGAUAUGGGAAUUGGUACCUGAUUUUAAUAUUAUGGGAUUUUAGUGCUGUUUUUGUCAAAGUUCUUAUUUUCAGAUUUUUAAAGGUUUGAAUGAAAUUAUAUGCCAAAUAUUGAAGUUUAUGUAUUUGACUAAAUUCGAUAUAGGGGUUGUAUACGAAUAAGGUAGUGAUGUUAAGGAAGUGCAAGUGAUUUAAUGGAUUUGUUAAUAAAUGGUGAUUAGUUGGUAAAUUGUUAGAGAGAAGAAAAUUUGGGGAAUUCAUUCAAGUAUCAAGAAAUGGAAAUUCAAGAUAAAAUUUGAAAGUUGAGGAAUUAAGUGGUGACUUUGCAUUAAUUUAAUUGUUAUAUUUUAAUUUGAGUUAUUAUACUGCUAUUUCAGGUAAUGACAUGGAAGUUUGGAGAUGCCGGUUAAUUUAGCUAGAUUUUUAUCCAUAGAGUAGUGAGUGGAAAUAAAACUUAUUUUUUCAGAAAAAAGUAUUUAUUGAAUUUUGAAGUUACGUAUUUUAUAAGUUGAGUUGAUAGCAUGAUUUUUCAGAAUAAAAUGAAUUUUAUUAUCAAAUGUUUAUAAAAGUUAAAUUCAGUUCAACUAAAUUAUUUCAUUGACAUAUUAUUUCAGUAUUAAAUAUUUCAGCAGAGUUAAAGUUAUUUUUAAAAUCACCAGAAAGCACCCAAGUGAUUUUACCCUAAUCUGCACUGGUGUGAAUGUGUUUCCACAUUUUAUGAUCAGUUAUGGUGAUUUUACCCGCUCUGCACUAUUGUGAAUGUGUUUUCAUAGUAUAUGAUCAGAUUAUUAGAUUAUCAGAAGUCUUUGGGACCCACUCUAGUACACACAUAGGCUUUGAGCCGUGUACUAGGGUGAUUAGCCUUUAGGGGCAGCUCUGCGUACGUAUGACCAGAUUAUCAGAUUACUAGAUUAUCAAAAUAUCAUAUUUGAAUGACUCUGCCUUGUACAUCAAGAUUACGCUGUACAUGAGUAAGGCUAUUCAUUGGGUACCUUUUUGAUGUGAUUUUUCACUAUUUUUACAGCUUGUCAGAUUUCAGAUUAUAGAAUUCAGUCUUUUCAGUUCUCAGAUUAAAGCUUUCAGCUUAUAGUAUUCAUCGGCAUCAAUAUUUCAUAGAUUUUCGCGGAUGUCAUCUUAUUUAUAUUCGUUACAUUUUACAGUUACUUAUCUAGAAUGAAUAACAAAGAAUUUUAUGAUAUAUUCAUGUUUGAUUUUAAAAGUGUUACUAGUUUUCCGAAUUUCUCAAGUUUUAGUAGUGCAAGAAUUUUUAAAAAAUAUGCAUAAAUGAGAAAAGUUUACUUAUUCACAAAUUAUCCACUCACUAAGCUCAUUUAUUUUUCACAUUUUUCUUUAUGAGACAGAAAGCAGACAAAUUGAGCAGUUUUGGAGCCUGUCGAACCACCGAAUUGAGCCACGCACCAUAGGUUGUAUGACAUCCUUUAGCAGAUUAUACAUUAUGUGUUCUUUUGGAAUACAUAUAGUUUAAAUCAAAAAAGUUCAUUAUGGGCUCAUUAGAUAUUUGGUAUCUUUAGUAUAUUUGAGGAUUGUUGUUUGUAAAGUAAGUAAAUAUUGAUUUUCUAGCAUUUUAUUUGAAUAGUUUGUAUUUUGAGGUACUGACGUAUCCUGAUUUAUAUUAUAUGUAUUGAUUUGAGGAAAAUUGGUUAUUGUUAAGGUGGUUUUAGUUCGUAUUUCAGGAAAAACUCUAUCAAAAUUCUGUUAAAAUUUUUUUUUUUAGUCAAGCAAGUCAAAGUUACCUUGAUGAUGGGUCCGACGUUUAGCGGGUAUCUACCAUCGGCGCAUGACACGUGUCGAGUCCAUUAAGGUGAUUCAGGAUUGUCGUGUCAGUAUACUUAUC
rnacentral:lncRNA from 1 species